rnacentral:hammerhead_ribozyme from 1 species
AUCCAGCCGACGAGUCCAAAAUAGGACGAAACGUACAUCCUGGAU